UUCAGGUGAGGCACUGCCACAAAUCACCUGUCAGUAACUGUUGUUGUUAUUGACGUUACAGUGUGUUCAUAUAUAUUUCACAGAAGCAGACAACACGUUUGUUUUGAACCAAAUAGUCCUCAAAGUACGAAGGUGGGAAAAUGCAUCUUGUGAUCAUCGCAACAAUAACAUAAACAAACUAUCAACGGCUGACAAAUGAAAGGACAAACCAACAUGAAGUGUCUCAGUAAGGAGCUGGGCCACCAUGUGCCACCAGAACAGCAUCAGUGCACUUAGCCAUUGACUCUCCAUGAACUCUACUGGAGGGAUGAACACCAUUCUUCCAAAAAGAUAUUCCCUCGUGUUUUGAUGAUGGAAGUAGAGCAACUGUCUGACACGUUGCUCCAAAAUAUCCCAGAUGUUCAACUGGGUUGAGAUCUGUUGACUUUGAAGGCCAAAAGCAUAUGAUUCACAUAAUUUGCAUACUCAUCAAACCUUUCACUGACCCCUUAUGUCCGAUGGAUGGGGGGUGCUGUCACCCUGGAAGA